AACGAACGCUGGCGGCAUGCCUAACACAUGCAAGUCGAACGAGACCUUCGGGUCUAGUGGCGCACGGGUGCGUAACGCGUGGGAACCUGCCCUUAGGUUCGGAAUAACUCCCCGAAAGGGGUGCUAAUACCGGAUAAUGUCUUCGGACCAAAGAUUUAUCGCCUUUGGAUGGGCCCGCGUUGGAUUAGCUAGUUGGUAGGGUAAAAGCCUACCAAGGCGACGAUCCAUAGCUGGUCUGAGAGGAUGAUCAGCCACACUGGGACUGAGACACGGCCCAGACUCCUACGGGAGGCAGCAGUGGGGAACAUUGGACAAUGGGCGAAAGCCUGAUCCAGCAAUGCCGCGUGAGUGAUGAAGGCCUUAGGGUUGUAAGGCUCUUUUACCCGGGAUGAUAAUGACAGUACCGGGAGAAUAAGCUCCGGCUAACUCCGUG
rnacentral:rRNA from 1 species